rnacentral:rRNA from 1 species
GACGAACGCUGGCGGCGUGCUUAACACAUGCAAGUCGAACGGAAAGGCCCUGCUUUUGUGGGGUGCUCGAGUGGCGAACGGGUGAGUAACACGUGAGUAACCUGCCCUUGACUUUGGGAUAACUUCAGGAAACUGGGGCUAAUACCGGAUAGGAGCUCCUGCUGCAUGGUGGGGGUUGGAAAGUUUCGGCGGUUGGGGAUGGACUCGCGGCUUAUCAGCUUGUUGGUGGGGUAGUGGCUUACCAAGGCUUUGACGGGUAGCCGGCCUGAGCGGGUGACCGGCCACAUUGGGACUGAGAUACGGCCCAGACUCCUACGGGAGGGAGCAGUGGGGAAGAUUGCACAAUGGGCGGAAGCCUGAUGCAGCAACGCCGCGUGCGGGAUGACGGCCUUCGGGUUGUAAACCGCUUUCGCCUGUGACGAAGCGUGAGUGACGGUAAUGGGUAAAGAAGCACCGGCUAACUACGUG